UACGUAGGUGGCAAGCGUUGUCCGGAAUUAUUGGGCGUAAAGGGUGCGUAGGCGGUCGCGCAAGUCGGAUGUGAAAUCUCAGGGCUCAACCCUGAAACUGCAUUCGAUACUGCGUGGCUAGAGUGCUGGAGAGGAGACUGGAAUUUACGGUGUAGCAGUGAAAUGCGUAGAUAUCGUAAGGAAGACCAGUGGCGAAGGCGAGUCUCUGGACAGCAACUGACGCUGAGGCACGAAGGCCAGGGGAGCAAACGGG
rnacentral:rRNA from 1 species